rnacentral:rRNA from 1 species
CAAAUUUGAAAUCUGGCGCAAGCCCGAGUUGUAAUUUGUAGAGGAUGCUUCUGGGCAGCGGCCGGUCUAAGUUCCUUGGAACAGGACGUCAUAGAGGGUGAGAAUCCCGUAUGUGACCGGCUGGCACCCUCCACGUAGCUCCUUCGACGAGUCGAGUUGUUUGGGAAUGCAGCUCUAAAUGGGAGGUAAAUUUCUUCUAAAGCUAAAUACCGGCCAGAGACCGAUAGCGCACAAGUAGAGUGAUCGAAAGAUGAAAAGCACUUUGGAAAGAGAGUUAAAAAGCACGUGAAAUUGUUGAAAGGGAAGCGCUUGCGACCAGACUUGUCGGCGGUGUUCCGCCGGUCUUCUGACCGGUCUACUCGCCGUCGGCAGGCCAGCAUCAUCUGGGGCCGCCGGAGAAAGGCUUGGGGAAUGUAGCUCCUCUCGGGGAGUGUUAUAGCCCUUUGCACAAUACGGCGCGCCCC